AGCGAACGCUGGCGGCAGGCUUAACACAUGCAAGUCGAGCGGGCCCUUCGGGGUCAGCGGCCGACGGGUGAGUAACGCGUGGGAACGUGCCCUUCGGUUCGGAAUAACUCAGGGAAACUUGAGCUAAUACCGGAUACGCCCUUAUGGAGAAUGGUUUACUGCCGAAGGAUCGGCCCGCGUCUGAUUAGCUAGUUGGUGAGGUUAUGGCUCACCAAGGCGACGAUCAGUAGCUGGUCUGAGAGGAUGAUCAGCCACACUGGGACUGAGACACGGCCCAGACUCCUACGGGAGGCAGCAGUGGGGAAUAUUGGACAAUGGGGGCAACCCUGAUCCAGCCAUGCCGCGUGAGUGAUGACGGCCUUAGGGUUGUAAAGCUCUUUUCUCCGGGACGAUAAUGACGGUACCGGAGGAAUAAGCCCCGGCUAACUUCGUG
rnacentral:rRNA from 1 species